CUAUUGCAAAAGGAUUCAUAUGGGAGUCAAAUGCUAUAGAGGCCAUGUUUAAACAACUUAGGAGAAAUAGUCGGCGAAACGUUACUCAGACUUUCUGUACAAGAUGCGGAGUACAGGAAAGAAACAGAGAUGUGUUUAGGACGAGGUUUGGGCUAAUUGGCAGCAGGUUUGGUCCGAUCCUAAAUAUAUGAGGAAACGAGAGAUUGUCUCGUAAUAGGCUUAGUGAGAUGGGUGGUGAGGGGGCUAGUCCGUCUCAACACAUCGGUGGUUCCAUUUCAGCAACUGAGAUUACUGAGAAAUUGGCCAAGAAGUUGAACCAUCAGCCUACGCCCAUGAAGGUCUUCACAUUUAUACAUAUAAAGGACCAUGAUGGGAUCACAUUCAUUGAUAGGCAUGCUGAGCUUGUUAGAGAUAACUAUACUAUUGGGAAGGAGUGAGCUACUACAUCUCAGGCUCAAACUGGUGAGCAGCCUACAAUUGAUGAGUUGCAGCUUUAUCUCGAGGUUGCAGGAGGCGAGAAGAAAAGAAAAGUGUACGAUAAUAGUUUGUAGUCUGAUAUUUUUUAUAGCCGCACGCAUGGGGCUUCAGCGAGUAGGUCCAAACCAGCUGAGCCGGACGCACGUAUCAAGGAGAUUUAGGAUUUACGAGUUCAGCUUCAGGUGCACAGCUGAUGGAUAUGUAUGCUUGAGACCGACCCAUUGCACCGCCAUCUCCCUCUACACCGACAUGUCACUCUGAUCCCCCAGCUUCUUCUAGUCUGCCUGCCUCUCAGAGUCCCAUUACAGAUCUUGCAGAUUUGACCCCUUAGGCUUCGUUUUCAUUAUCAUAAUUAUUUUUUAUACAUUAAAGUAUAAUUUGUACAAUUCU